AUUGAACGCUGGCGGCAGGCCUAACACAUGCAAGUCGAACGAGUGGCGGACGGGUGAGUAAUGACUGGGCAACUGCCUGAUGGAGGGGGAUAACUACUGGAAACGGUAGCUAAUACCGCAUACCUUCGGAUGGGCCCAGAUGGGUUGGGCUAGUAGGUGGGGUAAAGGCUAACCUAGGCGACGAUCCCUAGCUGGUCUGAGAGGAUGACCAGUCACACUGGAACUGAGACACGGUCCAGACUCCUACGGUAGGCAGCAUUGGGGAUUAUUGCACAAUGGGCGCAAGCCUGAUGCAGCCAUGCCGCGUGUAUGAAGAAGGCCUUCGGGUUGUAAAGUACUUUCAGCGGGGAGGCGUUACCCGCAGAAGAAGCACCGGCUAACUCCGUGCCAGCAGCCGCGGUAAUUC
rnacentral:rRNA from 1 species